ACUCAAAGGAAUUGACGGGGACCCGCACAAGCAGCGGAGCAUGUGGUUUAAUUCGAAGCUACGCGAAAAACCUUACCAGGUCUUGACAUCCCUUGCAUAGCCAUGAAAGUGGUAAAUUCAGAGCAAUCUGACAAGGUGACAGGUGUUGCAUGGUUGUCGUCAGCUCGUGUCGUGAGAUGUUCGGUUAAGUCCGAUAACGAGCGCAACCCUUGUCGUUAGUUGCCAGCAUUAAGUUGGGCACUCUAGCGAGACUGCCGUAGAUAAUACGGAGGAAGGUGGGGAUGAUGUCAAAUCAUCAUGGCCCUUACGACCUGGGCUACACACGUGCUACAAUGGUCAUCACAAAGAGUUCCGAGCCGGCAACGGUGGGGCAAUCUCAAAAAAAUGAUCUCAAUUCGGAUUGUGGGCUGCAACUCGCCCACAUGAAGUCGGAGUUGCUAGUAAUCCCAAAUCAGCAUGUUGGGGUGAAUGCGUUCCCGGGUCUUGUACACACCGCCCGU
rnacentral:rRNA from 1 species